rnacentral:rRNA from 1 species
GACGAACGCUGGCGGCGUGCUUAACACAUGCAAGUCGAACGGAAAGGCCCUGCUUUUGUGGGGUGCUCGAGUGGCGAACGGGUGAGUAACACGUGAGUAACCUGCCCUUGACUUUGGGAUAACUUCAGGAAACUGGGGCUAAUACCGGAUAGGAGCUCCUGCUGCAUGGUGGGGGUUGGAAAGUUUCGGCGGUUGGGGAUGGACUCGCGGCUUAUCAGCUUGUUGGUGGGGUAGUGGCUUACCAAGGCUUUGACGGGUAGCCGGCCUGAGAGGGUGACCGGCCAAAAUGGGACUGAGGUACGGCCCAGACUCCUACGGGAGGCAGGAGUGGGGAAUAAUGCACAAUGGGGGGAAGCCUGAUGCAGCAACGCCGCGUGCGGGAUGACGGCCUUCGGGUUGUAAACCGCUUUCGCCUGUGACGAAGCGUGAGUGACGGUAAUUGGUAAAGAAGCACCGGCUAACUACGUG